UACGAAGGGGGCUAGCGUUGCUCGGAAUUACUGGGCGUAAAGGGCGCGUAGGCGGAUGUUUAAGUCGGGGGUGAAAGCCCGGGCUCAACCUCGGAAUUGCCUUCGAUACUGGACAUCUUGAGUACGGGAGAGGUGAGUGGAACUCCGAGUGUAGAGGUGAAAUUCGUAGAUAUUCGGAAGAACACCAGUGGCGAAGGCGACUCACUGGCCCGUUACUGACGCUGAGGCGCGAAAGCGUGGGGAGCAAACAGG
rnacentral:rRNA from 1 species